rnacentral:rRNA from 1 species
GACGAACGCUGGCGGCGUGCUUAACACAUGCAAGUCGAACGCAAAGGCCCUGCUUGUGUGGUGUUCUAGAGUAGCGAAGGGGUGAGUGACCCGUUGGUUACCUCCCCUGUACUUUGGGCUAACUCGGGGGAACACGGGCGAAUACCGGAUCUAAUACCCUACUACACGAUGUGGGGUGGAGAGGUUCGGCGGAUGGGGAUGGACUUGCGGCUUAUCAGCGUGUUGGGGGGGUAGUGGCUUACGAAGGCUUUGACGGGUAGCCGGCCUGAGAGGGUGACCGGGCACAGAGGGCCUGAGGUAGGGCCAGGACUGCAACGGGAGGAAGCAGCGGAAAAUAGUGCGCAAUGGGCGGAAGGCGGAUGCAGCAAUGCCGCGUGCGGGAUGACGGCUGUUGGGUUGUAAACCGCUUUCGCGUGUGACGUAGCGUGAGUGACGGUAAUGGAUAAGGAAGCAACGGCUAACUACGUG